AUUGAACGCUGGCGGCAUGCCUAACACAUGCAAGUCGAACGGGGCGCUUCGGCGCCUAGUGGCGGACGGGUGAGUAAAGCGUAGGAAUCUGCCUUGCAGUGGGGACAACCUGGGGAAACUCAGGCUAAUACCGCAUACGCUCGCGAGAGGAAAGCGGGGGAUCUUCGGACCUCGCGCCGCAAGAAGAGCCUACGUCCGAUUAGCUAGUUGGUAGGGUAAAAGCCUACCAAGGCGACGAUCGGUAGCUGGUCUGAGAGGAUGAUCAGCCACACUGGGACUGAGACACGGCCCAGACUCCUACGGGAGGCAGCAGUGGGGAAUAUUGGACAAUGGGCGCAAGCCUGAUCCAGCAAUGCCGCGUGGGUGAAGAAGGCCUGCGGGUUGUAAAGCCCUUUAAGUGGGGAGGAACGGCGGGAUGCGAACAGUGUUCUGCUCUGACGUUACCCACAGAAUAAGCACCGGCUAACUCCGUGCCAGCAGCCGCGGUAAU
rnacentral:rRNA from 1 species